UGUUUUAAGGAAUGGCAAUGCUAAAUUCUACAGUGGUACACUCUACUCUGUCGAAUGUUUACAAACACCACAAAGCUAGAGAUCUAUUGUGGAAACCUUUCUUUCUUUUGUUUGUUAUAACUUCUUAGUGUAAAAAUAAAUAUGGCUUGUCCAUUACGAAACAAAUAUGUAAGAUUUAUUACUUUUCAAAGUUGAAUUGUUCCUGACAAUUACACAUGAGAGUGCAUAUAAUUGAGUUGUGCUGACUUGCUGUUUCUAAAAUGAUAAGCUGGAGCUGGAGUUACAUAUGAGAGUACAGAUAAUUAAGUUGUGCUCCUGACUUGAUUAACAAAAGCUGCAGAAGAAAGGGACAAAAUACCAAAAAGCUGAAAAUUUGAAGAAAGGUGGAAGUAGGGAACUACACAACUUGAUUCAAGAUUACGAAGGGAAAAAGGGCAUUGAUUGAGCAGGAGAAAACAAUAAUGGGCCGAGGCAAGGAUAUAGUGCUCAGUUAGUAAAGAGAUAUGUGGGAAGUGGAGCAGCGGGAUGCAAAUGGAAUUUUUGUGACUCACUGAAGGUCCUUCGCAAUCCAAAUUCCAGUUCUAUGACUUGCAAGGAAGGAUGAAGUCCAUGUCAUGAAAAUUUUAAUAUGUGGUCGCUGCCUCCUCCAGCCAUGGAUUUCAAAGGACCCCGGCACCACCACCACAGCCCCGCCUUAUCCACUGCCGGCCUUCACAAACGGGCAGCGGCGCGCUUGCCGCGGCGUCCGCUCCGCCCGAGCCCAGUAAUGGGGCGAGGCGUCGCGGCGGCUUUCCUGCACGCCUUGUCGGCCUUGGAGCUAGCCUUGGUGGGGGCGGGCCGAGGCGUCGCGGCGGAGGACGAUAAGCAGACGGGCACGCGCCGCCGGCGCGCUUGCCGUGGGCGUCCGCUUCGCCCGAGCCCAGGAGUGGGGCGAGGGGUCGCGCCGGCGUUCCUAUAUGCCUUGUCGCCCUUGAAGCUGGCCUUGGCGGGCCGAGGCGUCGCGGCGGAGGACGACAAGGCGGUCGGCGUGCUCUGUUGGGGCGACGCGUCGCGGCGCUCCGGCUCCAGCAGAUGACGGCAGAGAGCCAGGUGUGGCUUUGUGUCACCAACAGCCACGAGGUCAUCCGCGCCGGCCACCGUGCCAGGCUGGACCAGCUGCUGCAGCCCCCCUGCGUCGUCGCCGUCGCCGUGGCACAAGAAGCGCGAGUUCCCCCUCGCUAUCGGAGGCUGGGUGUCGUUCUCUAGUGCAGAUUGUCUAAUUGAGUUUUUGAAAGCGUCGUCCACGUCUGCACUUCAUGGGUCCAUACACUGGGAACUCACGCCUGAGAACUUCCUGCUCACCAGAUUGGUUUCAGUUUCUCUGUCUCCAUCGAAGAAGCUCAAUAACCAUAUAACGCAUCUUGCCCGAGUUUGAUACUUCCGACUAUUUCCAUGUCUUUCGGGUCAAAGUUAAGUUAGCUCUAUAUACGAGCAGGCAUUUUAUUCUUUGGGAGCAAGCAAGAAUCAAUAUAUUCUCUCGCAAUAUUAUCUCCUCCUUCCCCUUGUCUUCCUAAUCCCCUGCAGAUGGCAUGACUAGGUAGGUUCAUAACAGUUGUUGUAACUAUCCGUCCGGUCAUGAAUCAACAAUUACAAUUGUUUUGACUUCUACGAUCAGUUCAGCCGCCUAUGUUGUACUGCCGCUGCCAUUUAAAGAUUUAAGUUGUCAGGUGGAUAUAGGUUCCAUUAGAUUGAAAGUAAUGAAAUUUUAUUUGCCAACCUGGCUGCACUUUGUGAUGCUUUAUUUAUGUAUAUACUUAAAGUUCAUAUGUGAUGUAUGCUUUACUCCUUAUUUGAUACUUGCAUUUGUCGCAAGCACCUUGCUGUUCUGAGUAAUGGUUGAUAUCUUACAUUUAGCCGAGAAGCUGAAAACUUACGAGUUGGAAAACCUUCUAGAUAUACCUAAAAAGACCUUGAAGAUAUCUUCUACUAGAUUGGACGAGCUGAUUGACUGGCGAUGGAGAUGCAGCAGUGACCUGCAAUUCUUUCUGCUCUGGAUGGUUCAUUUUGAAAUCUUUUUUAUAUCUGACAA